UACGUAGGGACCAAGCGUUGUUCGGAUUUACUGGGCGUAAAGGGCGCGUAGGCGGUGCUGUAAGUCACUUGUGAAAUCUCUGAGCUUAACUCAGAACGGCCAAGUGAUACUGCAGGACUAGAGUGCAGAAGGGGCAAUCGGAAUUCUUGGUGUAGCGGUGAAAUGCGUAGAUAUCAAGAGGAACACCUGAGGUGAAGACGGGUUGCUGGGCUGACACUGACGCUGAGGCGCGAAAGCCAGGGGAGCAAACGGG
rnacentral:rRNA from 1 species